rnacentral:rRNA from 1 species
AUACGGAGGGUGCAAGCGUUAUCCGGAUUCAUUGGGUUUAAAGGGUGCGCAGGCGGACCUGUCAGUCAGUGGUGAAAUCCCGGGGCUCAACCCCGGAACUGCCAUUGAUACUACAGGUCUUGAAUACGGUUGAAGUAGGCGGAAUGUAGCAUGUAGCGGUGAAAUGCAUAGAUAUGCUACAGAACACCGAUCGCGAAGGCAGCUUACUAAGCCGAUAUUGACGCUCAGGCACGAAAGCGUGGGGAGCGAACAGGAUUAGAAACCCCGGUAGUCC